GCAUAGCUAAGUGUUGCUCUCCACAUUCUGGAGGAUCAAGUUUGAAAUCAGUGGAAUUAGACUAUGAUAGCUAAAGAGAUGGAGAAAACAGCUGUCUCCGGAUUACAUCUUCAAACUGAGGGCAACAGUGGCAUGGCAUCCGUGACAGGGAGACGCGUCCAUCAUGCAUGAUGAUGUAUACAGGAAAAUCAAUGAUGAGACCUUCAUGCUGCCCGUCUGCAUUAUUGAAGAAGGCAAUGAGCUCCGUCGGGUCUUUUUAAAAAUGGCGGUAGUUACAGUCUUGUCUCAUCGCUGCAACUCCCGUACGGACUCGGGAGAGGUGAAGGUCGAGAGCCAUGCAUCCUCCGAAACACAACCCAACCCAACCCAACCAAGCCGCACUGCUUCUUGACACAAUGCCCAUCCAACCUGGAAGCCAGCCACACCAAUGUCUCAGAGGAAACACCGUACACCUG
rnacentral:lncRNA from 1 species